GCCGAAGUGGCGGAAUGGCAGACGCGGCGGUCUCAAAAACCGUUGUCCUCAAAGACAUGUGGGUUCGACUCCCUCCUUCGGCA
rnacentral:tRNA from 2 species